GAUGAACGCUGGCGGCGUGCCUAAUACAUGCAAGUCGAGCGAAUGGAUUAAGAGCUUGCGCUUAUGAAGUUAGCGGCGGACGGGUGAGUAACACGUGGGUAACCUGCCCAUAAGACUAGGAUAACUCCGGGAAACCGGGGCGAAUACCGGAUAACAUGUUGAACCGCAUGGUUCGAAAUUGAAAGGCGGCUUCGGCUGUCACUUAUGGAUGGACCCGGGUCGCAUUAGCUAGUUGGUGAGGUAACGGCUCACCAAGGCAACGAUGCGUAGCCGCCCUGAGAGGGUGAUCGGCCACACUGGGACUGAGACACGGCCCAGACUCCUACGGGAGGCAGCAGUGGGGAAUCUUCCGCAAUGGACGAAAGUCUGACGGAGCAACGCCGCGUGAGUGAUGAAGGCUUUCGGGUCGUAAAACUCUGUUGUUAGGGAAGAACAAGUGCUAGUUGAAUAAGCUGGCACCUUGACGGUACCUAACCAGAAAGCCACGGCUAACUACGUGGCAGCCGCCGCCGUAA
rnacentral:rRNA from 1 species